ACCAAUGGGGUGUAGUGGUUUGAACAUUGGACUAUGACUCUGAAGACCAGGGUUCAAGUCCCUGCUCGGCUG
rnacentral:tRNA from 1 species